GGACUUCGGUCCUGAGUAGAGUGGCGAACGGGUGAGUAACGCGUGGGUGACCUACCCUCAAGUGGGGGAUAACGUUCCGAAAGGGACGCUAAUACCGCAUGACAUUCCGGGUUUGAAGACCUGGAAAUCAAAGCCGGGGACCGCAAGGCCUGGCGCUAGAGGAGGGGCCCGCGUCUGAUUAGCUAGUUGGCGGGGUAAUGGCCCACCAAGGCGACGAUCAGUAGCCGGCCUGAGAGGGCGGACGGCCACACUGGGACUGAGACACGGCCCAGACUCCUACGGGAGGCAGCAGUGGGGAAUUGUUCGCAAUGGGCGCAAGCCUGACGACGCAACGCCGCGUGGAGGAUGAAGGUCUUCGGAUUGUAAACUCCUGUUGAUCGGGACGAAAAGCUUCGACCUAACACGUCGGAGACUGACGGUACCGGUUGAGGAAGCCACGGCUAACUCUGUGCCCGCAGCCGCGGUAAUACAGAGGUGGCAAGCGUUGUUCGGAAUUACUGGGCGUAAAGGGCGCGUAGGUGGCCUUCUAAGUCGGACGUGAAAGCCCCAGGCUUAACCCUGGGAACUGCGUCCGAUACUGGGAGGCUUGGAUUCGGAAGAGGGAUGUGGAAUUCCAGGUGUAGCGGUGAAAUGCGUAGAUAUCUGGAGGAACACCGGUGGCGAAGGCGGCAUCCUGGACCGAGAUCGACGCUGAGGCGCGAAAGCUAGGGGAGCAAACGG
rnacentral:rRNA from 1 species